rnacentral:rRNA from 1 species
UACGAGAGGUGCAAGCGUUAUUCGGAAUCAUUGGGCGUAAAGGGUGCGUAGACGGCAAUAUAAGUCUGUUGUUAAAUUUCCUGGCCUAACUGGGAAUCUGCAAUGGAUACUGUUUUGCUAGAGGGUGAGAGAGAGAAGUGGAAUUCUUGGAGUAGCGGUCAAAUGCGUAGAUCUCAAGAGGAACACCGAUGGCGAAGGCAGCUUCUUGGCUCAUUUCUGACGUUGAGGCACGAAAGCGUGGGGAGCAAACAGG